UACAGAGGGGGCAAGCGUUAUUCGGAAUUAUUGGGCGUAAAGGGCGCGUAGGCGGCCUGGCAAGUGACGGGUGAAAGCCCUCGGCUCAACCGAGGAACUGCCUGUCAUACUGCCGGGCUUGAGUCCGGGAGAGGUGAGUGGAAUUCCCAGUGUAGCGGUGAAAUGCGUAGAUAUUGGGAGGAACACCAGUGGCGAAGGCGGCUCACUGGGCCGCAACUGACGCUGAGGAGCGAAAGCAUGGGGAGCGAACAGG
rnacentral:rRNA from 1 species